UACGUAGGGUGCAGGCGUUAAUCGGAAUUACUGGGCGUAAAGCGUGCGCAGGCGGUUUGCUAAGACAGGUGUGAAAUCCCCGGGCUUAACCUGGGAACUGCGCUUGUUACUGGCAGGCUUGAGUGUGGCAGAGGGGGGUGGAAUUCCACGUGUAGCAGUGAAAUGCGUAGAGAUGUGGAGGAACACCGAUGGCGAAGGCAGCCCCCUGGGCUAACACUGACGCUCAUGCACGAAAGCGUGGGGAGCGAACGGG
rnacentral:rRNA from 1 species